GUGUCAGCAGCCGCGGUAAAACGUAGGAGGCGAGCGUUAUCCGGAUUUACUGGGCGUAAAGCGCACGCAGGUGGCCGUGUAAGUCGGACAUGAAAGCUCCUGGCUUAACUAGGAGAGGGGGUUCGAAACUGCAGGGCUUGAGGUUGGGAGAGGGACGUGGAAUUCCCGGUGUAGUGGUGGAAUGCGUAGAUAUCGGGAGGAACACCAGUGGCGCAAGCGGCGUCCUGGCCCACACCUGACGCUGAGGUGCGAAAGCGUGGGGAGCAAACAGGAUUAGAUACCCGAGUAGUCC
rnacentral:rRNA from 1 species